rnacentral:rRNA from 1 species
UACGAAGGGGGCUAGCGUUGUUCGGAAUCACUGGGCGUAAAGCGCACGCAGGCGGAUCGAUAAGUCGGGGGUGAAAGCCCGGGGCUCAACCCGGGAAUUGCCUUCGAUACUGUGGGUCUCGAGUACGGGAGAGGAGAGUGGAAUUCCUAGUGUAGAGGUGAAAUUCGUAGAUAUUAGGAAGAACACCAGUGGCGAAGGCGGCUCUCUGGACCGAUACUGACGCUCAGGCGCGAAAGCGUGGGAAGCAAACAGG